AUGGUGCAUGAAGAGCGUAUUCUGCUCGAAGAUCUUCAAGGUGCCGUCACUUCAAUUCUUGGGGAUGACAAGGGUAGUUUUAUUGCUGCUUCAAAUGACUACAUCGAGCAUGUAGCGAAUGCAACAAUGGCAGAGGCCUAUGCGCCCAGGCGUGGACUUCUUCUAGCGCAACAGCUUGGGAUCGAGAACCUGAUUGUCGAAUCAGAUUGUAUGGAGGUGAUUGAUACGAUGCAUGAUGGGGGGUUUUCUUCGACAUGA
rnacentral:rRNA from 1 species